rnacentral:lncRNA from 1 species
UAUUCAUAUUUUUUUUUAAUUUCAUACUUCUUUUUUUAAUUCAAAUAAAUAUUACUCAUGCAAGUAUCGAAUUAAAUUAAGAUGCAAAUGCACAUUACUCGAUAGAUAGACAAGAAUCGAAACUGCAACCAUCUAGCGAGAAUAGAAAAAAUUCGAAUAUUUGAAAGGUAUUAGUUAAUUGUAAAAACUUUAUAUAUAUUUUUUGUUAUUUAAUUAAAAUGAUGUCUAUUUAAGCAGCUAUUGGUUUGAUACUACUUGCGAUGGAAUGAUAUUAAAUAAAAUAUGCAAAGAUGCAAUGAAUGGAAAGAUGCAAUGAAUGCAAAGAUGCAAUGAAUGCAAAGAAGCAAUGAAUGCAAAGAUGCAAUGAAUGCAUCGAAGGGAAGCUCUUUUUUAGAUCGCGAUUGUUAUUUUGCUGGAAUUAAAAAAGUAUUAUAAAUAUAUAAAAGUUAUUAAAAAAUCAAUACUAA